CGGACGGGUGAGUAACGCGUGAGUAACCUGCCUUACACAAGGGGAUAGCCGUUGGAAACGACGAAUAAUACCCUAUGACAUAAACUCUUCGCAUGAGGAGCUUAUCAAAGAUUUAUCGGUGUAAGAUGGACUCGCGUCUGAUUAGCUAGUUGGUGAGGUAACGGCCCACCAAGGCGACGAUCAGUAGCCGGCUUGAGAGAGUGUACGGCCACAUUGGGACUGAGACACGGCCCAGACUCCUACGGGAGGCAGCAGGU
rnacentral:rRNA from 1 species